CUCUUAUAAAGAGAGGUGGAGGGAAGUGCCCUAUGAAGCCCGGCAACCAGCGAUUACGCAAAGGUGCCAAUUCACACAAAGUGUAAACUUUGAAAGAUGAGAG
rnacentral:ncRNA from 2 species